CCAUACCCCAACAAUGAAGGACAACCCUUCCUCUUCUAACAU
rnacentral:tRNA from 1 species